CUCUGGGUGCUGUCUCUGAGGUGACCAUUCCUGCAAUAUUUCCCUCCACGAUUUAAUUAAAUAAGCCCCAAAUUAAAGCUUGCUGAUAAUAUUUUAUUUGCGUUUGUAUUCUGUGGCAGCAGUCCUGGCUGCUUGUAUGUAUCAAUUGGACAGAGAUCCUUUUGAGGGCUGUACCGAGCGGCUCAGAGCAGCCUCUCUCAUCUGAAUAUUAUCUUUAUUUAUUUAUUUUUUUCAUAUUAUGCAAAAUGAAUAAACAACAAAAUUAUACAAUUAUCGAAGAACGCGAUUUAAUGGCAAAGAUGGAUUAAACCAGCUCAUACGAAUGAUGUGAUCUGACAGCAGUGCCUCGUUAUUUAAUGCAGACGGUGAUCUCCAGCGUUCCGCUCCCGACACGAGCGCCGUGCGCUGAGCAUCUGUCCGGCCGUUAGAGACCAUCGGUGCUCCGUUAUUGGAUUUCUGAUCUCCAGACGAUUCAGCUCCUGCACAGCAGAGGAGAGCCGCCUCAUUCCGUCUGACAAGUGUUGUGCUGCGCAGCGCUCCAUCACGUCCGUGUAAACAUCCAUCUGCUCGCUGUAUGGGCUCUGCAAGCAGAACAGUUUUAAUUUAUCAUAAACUUCAUAUAACUCAUUAGCUUUCAUCUUUACGCCGCGUGUAUAGAAAUGAAUUUGGAGUGUACUCACAGGGGUUUUUCUGAGGAGUUUGCUGUACAAAUAUUUAUGGACUUUUCCCUUUGUAGUGCAGGCUGUGGUGGAACAGCUCUGCCAUCAGCGGCUUGGGCUGCGGGAGAGGCUUUGCCAAAAGCCCUCGUUUAUUUACCGCGUGGCACUUUGUAUUGAAAUUUGUUUUGCUGCUAUGUGUAAAAAUCCAC
ensembl:lncRNA